AAACAUUAAUUCCAAAAUAAGUCAAUGUCAGCUCUACAAUAAUGAUUUAUGAUAAGCUGGCUUAUAGCUGUUGAAAGCAACUAUUCUUGUUGAGACAUUGCCUCUGAAGAGUCUUUUGGGGCAUUCAGGGUAAUGUGCAGUUUUACUGUAGUAGCUUGAAAACUGGAAAUAGUCGGCAGAUGAGUGGGCUGUGUGUAGAUAAUGAACUUUCUUGCUAGCAAAUUAAAGCUUUAUGGUAUUAUAAUACUGGAAGAGCAACUCUUGAGUGUUUUUUUUGGAUUGCAAACCGAAGACUACAAGUUAUUUCAGGCUGUCAGAUAAGUGGAGGGGCAAGCAAACGGAUUUCUCUGUACUAAAUGUAAAUGUGUUUGUUACACAGUGAUAAUGAAUUUGACUGAAAUUUUAUGCUUUUACCAUGGAGAGUAUAACAGCGUUAAAAGGAAUCUUAAUUUCUUCAUUUUAAAGUAACUUCUUUGCAAAAUAGUAUGUCUGCUGAGUUUCCAGUUGGAGGUGUUCUUAAUUCAUCAGUUUAUAUCUUUACUAUGAAUAAAAGGUGUUUCUUCCAAGACACGUUAUUGAAAGUGGAAAAAGGCAUAAUUUGUUUCAUCACAGAAAGGUCCGUGUGGUUUAUAGUAACUCUAGGUAGGUCUGAGGUGAAGUUUAGGGAGAAAUAACUAACAAUAUUUGUUUAUCUCCCUCCUUCCUUAUUCAACUGCUCCUCAAACCAGAGGGGAACAUUCCCUCCCCAGCUGUUUUCUUAUGUGUGUUGCCAUCAUCAUGUAUAUGUGCUUCUGUAGAUGUUACAUACGUGGUGAUAGAACACCUGGAAUGAUCUACCUGAAAAUAAAAAGAAAUGGUGUUUAGCUGUUACACAGCACUUCUAGUUAAUAGAUUUCAAAGAGGUUUGAAGAGAAAUCACAACCCUUGUUUUACUGCUAGGGAAGACCAACUACACUAAAGUGGGUUUUACCAAAUUCAUCCAAGGAGGUCAGUGACAGAAAAAAAUAUAUAAAACCCACUGUUCAAUCCAUCAUUAUGCCUACCUCCUAUCUUUGAAGGAGGCACAGAAGAAGUGGUGUUCUCUUCUAAUGCCAUAGGUAUUGGUGUGAAUUAGCAGAUCUUCUCCAUCUCCAUGCCGGUGACACGCGAAUGACUGUUCCGUUCCUAUUCUCUUAGGCUUCCUCUUGGUAGAGAGUGGAUUACUUACAGUAGGUAUAGGACACUUACAUGAAACUAAAUAAAAUAUGCUGCUUGUUCUUAUGAAAGUGGUUGUAAGUAGCAUAAGUCACAACCAAGAGUAUCUGCUGCAGUGAAAGCCAGUCUUGAGGCAGCUGAGUGAAAAACAGCCCUAAGGAUUUCAUCUGUACAGUCAGCAUCAUACAGUUACAGACCACAGAAUAUCAGGGGAUUCUUGUAUUGUGCACUGAAUCAUGCACAGUGUGUGAUGUUCUGUGCCCUCUAGUAGUUAAAGGUGCAUUGUAUCCAAGGUCUAGGAAAGUAAACUUUUACAUCUGGUGUCACCUGAAUUGGAUUCCCCUUUUCUGAGGAGCUAGAUUUCGGUGAAACAUCGUGAUCCGCUUCUGGUUAUAAAUACUUUCAAAAAGCCAUUUGCAAGCAUGAGGAGGAGCCAGAAGAGUAGAAGGAAACAUUGCUAACAUCCAAGGCAAAGUUGGCAGAGAAAACUGAUGGCAGCAGAACAGAAGAAUGGAAAGAGAAAGAAUACAUGUACAAGGUUUGGGAAAAUGGAAAGCCUGCACAACUUGAUUUUGGGAUACCACGGUCUUGUUUUGGACUGGAAAUGGUACUGAAGCAAAACAGUAGAGCAUCUGUUCCUGCUGAGAAAGGACAAACUGAAGCUGCGUAGUAAACUGGAGAAGACUUGAGUGGCCUAAGUGGAAGACACGACGUAGUAAAUAUGUGCUGUGACCUGUGUAUCGGAAUAGGCAGAUGUGGGGAAUACAGCUGAGUGUUUUUCUUCUAGAGUUGAUGAUGGAGGUGCCUGUAAGGAAGAGGAGCUCCCGUAAUCUGACUUCAAGAUUGAAAAAAAAAUUGCUAAUUUCCAGUGGCUUCCUAUUUUUAGCAGCUGGCAGUUGGUUUCCUUUUUUCUGUUUCUUUUGUGCUUCCUUGACUUUCCAAAAUUUCUUUUACUCUCCUACUCUCAAGUUGCAGAUAAGCUACCAUGAAGAUAAAUGCUUUUGUUUGAUAUUUUUCAUAAGAAUAUUAGCAUUUUAAGAGAAAUGACAGCUUAACGGCUUAUGUAUAUGAGUAUCUGACAGCUCCCCUCAGUGAUAUUUUAUCCCUGUGUGAAGGUAAUGUGCUUUCUGGUGUUUCUCAGAGCCACGCUACUGUUAGAGAAUACUGAUAAUGAACAUGUGACAAAAAGGUCAGCACUUCAUUUGGCAUCAAACUUUCCUUGUUCCAGUGACCGCUUGUUGGCAAAGGAUAUUGCACUCAUCAGAUGCAUGCUGAACAGAUUACACUUAAACUUGUAAUCUGUUACUGUCAGCAAAAUUUUAUUUACCGCUUUUGCUGUCAAUCUUGAAUGUGUGAAAAAGAAUAUCUUGAGAUGUAUGGGCUUCUUUUGUCCGGGUGACAUGAAAGUUCUGCCCAGACACUUUCAGCAUUUGGUUGAGUCCAUUUUGUUACUGAUUCUCUCUUCUUAAAGUUUUUGUUUUUGUUUUCCCCCAUUCCUUGUUUCAGGUAUCUAUUAAAAUAGCUGGUUGUGCAUUAUUGUACUACGGUAGGAAUAUUCAGGUGUUGCCGACUUCUCAUGUUUUGUGCUACUUGUUUAACAAGGUAAUUUUUCCAGUGUAGAUUGCUCUAAUGCCAGAGCUCUGCUGUGAUACCAGAUAUAGCCAGAGCUCUGCUGUGAUACCAGAUAUAAUUUUCAGGGAAAUGAUGAAGAAAAAAGACUUCCAAACUAUGUUAGCCAACUACUGACACUAUACUAUUUCAUUCAAGCCUUAUUAGGUCAUUAAAAACAACACUGUUCAGUAAAAUUACAGGUGUCAGCAGAUACUGACUUUCUUGUCCAGCGAUGCUUGGAGACUCAUGACAGCCAUAACUGGCCACACUGGAUUUGUCUGCCAUGUCUUUGCAUGUCUACCCUGGACUUACCUAAACUUUGUAGUGUGAAAGAAACUGAUGGCUUCACUGUGAUGUCUAUAGCUGGUAGACAAUUAACAUCAAAUGCUUUAAUUUAAUAGGAGCAAAGCUUAAUUAAGUUGGCUGGACACAUUGGUUGCUACUGCUACUGCCGAGUUUGGAAGGAGAGGGGAAUGUCCUGGAAAGGUGUAACUAAUUGGGUAGUUUGGAAGUUGCAGAAUGACCACAGAAAGCAGCUUUAUCUCUUUAAUCCAAUCUGAAAUUGAAAUAUUUAUAAACAAUCUGUGGCAAGAAAGCAGGUAGUGAUUCAGAUCUCAUUUUGAAUUCAUAAGUAGAAGUAUCUUUGGGAAUAUCAUUGAAAUAGAAAGGGAUUUAGUGGGAAAUCCAACAUACAAUUUUUAUUUGUAUUAGGAGUUCAGAAUUAGGGGAAUUCCUUACUAUGAGCAUUUUGUGGAAAAAAUUAUCAUGGAAUGCAGCGCCAGCGAUUAUAAGUUGAAGUUGUUAUUGCUCUUCUGCGUUGCUUUUUUUCCUCACUUCAGGUGUCCUUCUGUUGUUUAGGAGCCCAUUCAGAAGCUUUUGUAUUGCAUCAAAACAGCAGAAGUUCUUCAGUAGUUACUUUCUUUAAAGAAUUUUCUUUACAGAAUGGAUAUAAAUUGUCUGAAUUUAUCUGGGAGCAGAAUUUUGCCGUCAGUGUGGAUAAUCUCUUUUGGACUAAGAAGUAUUCUGAGAAGCUUGUUUUUCUUACUUUCUAGGAUAUUCAGUAUAUAUAUUUAGUUUAAUCUAUCUCUUCAUUUUUGGAUAAUUUUUAUUUGUCUUCAUUACCAAGACAUUUUAAUAACUUCAGGAGCUAGUCACUCUUCAGAGUUUUAUUUUGAUUUAAACCAUCACAGUGGUAAUUGAUUAUGUUUUUUCUUAACUAUUUUUCUAUGGUUAUGAACAACCAUUGUGUUUAUUAAUAAUGAUCGUCAGCAAUAACUGUAAUAAACCUCGUGUGUUUGACAAUA